GAAGAUUAAUACGAUCCCUUGUUACACAAACAAAUUUAUCCAUGUGACUUUGAUCUAGGAGAUAUGAUAUUUAUUAGGAACCCCGUCAUAGGCAACCUUCAGACCAAAUCCGGGAUUUCUAAAGUGUCAGGAUUACGGAAUGAUGAUAGGGGCUUCACAAUCACUUCAAAUGAUAGCUAACCAUUUAGAAACUCAUUGAGAUGAUGAGCCAGUCUUUUGAUUUUCAGUUUUGGGAUGUUUAUUACUUUACACAAAUGAUUGAAAUGAAUAUAUUAAUAAAGCGUAUAUGUGUUAUAAUUGUUGUUUUUUACUGACUGUUAAAACUAGCUUGACCACCAGCAUAUAUUGUACGAAAUUUCGUUGCCAUCCACUUGAGAAAUGGGACGUCUUAAACUGACAUUACAACAACUAUAUUUAGAACUCUUCAACCAUAUACAUCUUCCAGAUGCGAGUAAACAUACUGCUCCUUCAACAAAGUUUGGUAGUAAAUCAAGAUAAAUUAUAUGCUUUGUAGAUCUGAAGAUUAAUGUAAAAAUAGCUUAGUAUCCAAGUACUAGGGUUGAAACAGUUUAUUACAUUCAAUUCGAAUUGCAGUUCAAAAUGUGUUUCUUUUAAUACAAUACAUUAUAGUUUGGGGUUUUUCCCCCAUCAGCAA